AUUGAACGCUGGCGGCAGGCCUAACACAUGCAAGUCGAGCGGCAGCGGGAAGUAGCUUGCUACUUUGCCGGCGAACGGCGGACGGGUGAGUAAUGCCUGGGGAUCUGCCCAAUCGAGGGGGAUAACUACUGGAAACGGUAGCUAAUACCGCAUACGCCCUACGGGGGAAAGCAGGGGACCUUUUGGCCUUGCGCGAUUGGAUGAACCCGGGUGGGAUUAGCUUGUUGGUGAGGUAACGGCUCACCAAGGCGACGAUCCCUAGCUGGUCUGAGAGGAUGAUCAGCCACACUGGAACUGAGACACGGUCCAGACUCCUACGGGAGGCAGCAGUGGGGAAUAUUGCACAAUGGGGGAAACCCUGAUGCAGCCAUGCCGCGUGUGUGAAGAAGGCCUUCGGGUUGUAAAGCACUUUCAGCGAGGAGGAAGGGGAGUGAGCUAAUACCUUACUUCAUUGACGUUACUCGCAGAAGAAGCACCGGCUAACUCCGUGCCAGCCGCCGCAGUAA
rnacentral:rRNA from 1 species